rnacentral:lncRNA from 1 species
GGAAAUUAAUGGUCAUCUCUUACUUCAUUUCAUGCUUUUCUGAAUGAAAGCAACCUUAGUUGUUAACAACUCAACCAACCAGACAUACAUACAUAGAUACAGGACUAAAAAGUAAAAACAUCUCUGAUCAGUUAAUGUUAGAGCAUAGGAUUUCAGCAAUACAAACAAGUUCAGAAAAUUAAAUAAGCUAUUGAUCUCUCCAUCUCACCCACCUGAUGAUGAAGAUGGAUCACAUAUAACUAUAUAAAUAAAAUUCAGUUCAGCAAACUCUCUACAUGGAUCUGAAACAAAAUACAAUACAACAUCUGUUCACUGAUAAGAACAAAAUACAAUACAACAUCUCACCCACCAAGUAGCAUACAUUAAAUGCACGCGGUCUUCUACCUGCAAAUACAAAUAAAACAUGAAUUAGGACAAAACAAGAUGUCUUAUUUUCUUUUGAUAUACAAAAAGGUAACUAAAAGUGGUCUAACCUUUUAUACAGAGCUUUUACAUCUUCCCCUAAAAAUGGACUUUCCAGAAACAGAUCACCACAUUCCUUCACAUCUUCAAGAGUCUCUACUUCAAAAGCUCUGUCA